CGAUGAGUAGGGCGGGACACGUGGUAUCCUGUCUGAAUAUGGGGGGACCAUCCUCCAAGGCUAAAUACUCCUGACUGACCGAUAGUGAACCAGUACCGUGAGGGAAAGGCGAAAAGAACCCCGGCGAGGGGAGUGAAAAAGAACCUGAAACCGUGUACGUACAAGCAGUGGGAGCACAGGUUUACCUGUGUGACUGCGUACCUUUUGUAUAAUGGGUCAGCGACUUAUAUUCUGUAGCAAGGUUAACCGAAUAGGGGAGCCGGAGGGAAACCGAGUCUUAAUUGGGCGUUAAGUUGCAGGGUAUAGACCCGAAACCCGGUGAUCUAGCCAUGGGCAGGUUGAAGGUUGGGUAACACUAACUGGAGGACCGAACCGACUAAUGUUGAAAAAUUAGCGGAUGACCUGUGGCUGGGGGUGAAAGGCCAAUCAAACCGGGAGAUAGCUGGUUCUCCCCGAAAGCUAUUUAGGUAGCGCCUCGUGAAUUCAUCUCCGGGGGUAGAGCACUGUUUCGG
rnacentral:rRNA from 1 species